CAAGGAGACUUUGUGAGAGCUACACCUGUCCUGGAGGGGGGUGGUGGCUUGUGCACAAUAUAAAGGAGAAAAAGAGGUUUGCUCUGCCCCCUUUAUGCUCCAGCCGCUUUUGCUGCCUGCUAACUUGAAGUGUUUUCUCUUAGCUAUGACACCUUGCCUUGCAGCCAGCUGAUUAUGGACCGAAACCUCCACUAACAGUGUAUGCUUUGCAAUUCUUUGCUUGGCCUGCCCAAGAGCUUGGAAUAUGUCUGUUGGAUCCAUGAUGGACUAACAUUUGGAAAGCAAAACCUGGAGAUAUUGGAAACAUCUGCAGUCCUCUCCAGACAUCAACAGAUCUCAAAAGAUUUCAGCCGAUGUUGACAUUCAUGGAGCCCAGUCAAAAAGGAAGAUACAGACAUACCUUCCCUCAUCUCCCUCUGACAGAUUCCCUGCUUGGAUGCCUUCUUACCCACAGGGAACAAUUUCACUCCAAGGUCGUCCAGAAAGAUCAUCUUAUAUAUUUGUGUAAUAAAAAACGGGCAAUGUAUCAACAUGGGGGAAAUAAAAAAUGCAACCACCCUU